rnacentral:rRNA from 1 species
AAAGGGUGCGUAGGUGGCCUGUUAAGUCAGGGGUGAAAGACGGUAGCUCAACUAUCGCAGUGCCUUUGAUACUGACGGGCUUGAAUGAACUAGAGGUAGGCGGAAUGUGACAAGUAGCGGUGAAAUGCAUAGAUAUGUCACAGAACACCAAUUGCGAAGGCAGCUUACUAUGGUUUUAUUGACACUGAGGCACGAAAGCGUGGGGAUCAAACAGGAUUAGAUACCCGUGU